ACCCUGCGUCACAGACUUCAAAACACAUGUUUUAAAAUGAUAAAACAUGUGUUUUGAAGUCUGUGACGCAGGCU